AGAGGAAGUAAAAGUCGUAACAAGGUUUCCGUAGGUGAACCUGCGGAAGGAUCAUUAAAGAUUGCGAAUGGUUGCCUUCGGUGCUGGCUUUUGCAAGUGCACGUUGGUGGCUUUCAUCCAAUACCCUGUGAACCUUUGGCCUCUUGCUAGCUUCGGCUGGCAGAGGAUUUUUACACACACUCAAAUGUAAUGAAAACUAUUGUCGUGCGCAAGCACUAAUGUACAACUUUCAACAACGGAUCUCUUGGCUCUCGCAUCGAUGAAGAACGCAGCGAAAUGCGAUAAGUAAUGUGAAUUGCAGAAUUCAGUGAAUCAUCGAAUCUUUGAACGCACCUUGCACCCUUUGGUAUUCCGAAGGGUAUGCUCGUUUGAGUGUCAUUGUACUCUCACUCUCUCUGAUCCUUUGGAUUCAGGGAGUGGUGGACUUGGGUGUUUGCUGCUUCCUUGUGGCUCACCUCAAAUGCGUCAGUGCACCUCUUGAUUGGACAUAGUACGGCGUGAUAAGUAUCUUCGCCGGCACCUCGCAAGAGGGUGGCCGAUUGGGAGCUCUGUGCUUUCAAACCGUCUUCGGACAAUUUCUGACAACUUGACCUCAAAUCGAGUAGGACUACCCGCUGAACUUAAGCAUAUCAAUAAGCGGAGGAAAAGAAACUAACAAGGAUUCCCCUAGUAACGGCGAGUGAAGAGGGAAGAGCUCAAAUUUUAAAUCUGGCGUCUUUGGCGUCCGAAUUGUAAUCUAGAGAAGUGUUUUCCGUGACGGACCGUGCACAAGUCUCCUGGAAUGGAGCGUCAUAGAGGGUGAGAAUCCCGUAUAUGGCAUGGACUGCCGUUGCUCUGUGAUACACUCUCGACGAGUCGAGUUGUUUGGGAAUGCAGCUCUAAAUGGGUGGUAAAUGCCAUCUAAAGCUAAAUAUUGGCGAGAGACCGAUAGCGAACAAGUACCGUGAGGGAAAGAUGAAAAGCACUUUGGAAAGAGAGUGAAACAGUACGUGAAAUUGUUGAAAGGGAAACGCUUGAAGUCAGUCGCGCCGUUCAGGAUUCAGCCUUGCUUUUGCUCGGUYUACUUCCUGUUGGGUGGGUCAACAUCAGUUUUGGUCGGAGGAGAAAGGCUUGGGGAAUGUGGCAGCAUUCGUGCUGUGUUAUAGCCCCUUGUUGUAUACUUCGGCUGGGACUGAGGACCGCAGCACGCCUUUGGCCGGGGUUCGCCCACGUACGUGCUUAGGAUGUUGGCAUAAUGGCUUUAAGCGACCCGUCUUG
rnacentral:rRNA from 1 species